ACUACCUGUCUAGCUUUAAAAUCUUCACCAAUGGAGAGGAAGUGCCAAAGGAAGCCAAUAAAAAUAGAAUUAAUGCUGACUUAUCUACACUCUACUAAGUAUUUUCUAAGAACUUGUCAUGGAUUGUCGACAACAUCUCGUUUAAUUCCCCAUCUGGUCCACUGGGCCAGGUAUUAUUAUUAGCAUCUUUACUUCACUCGAAGGGAGCCUGCAGUGAAGAGUAGUUAAGUAACUGGCCUAAGUUAUUGUCGCGUUCGCCUUUGACCAGCAAUGACGACGCAACACCAACGCUCUUCUUCUAGCAGUUUAUUCAGGAAAACUUAACAUUCUUUUUCUUCUACCCCUGGGGAGCACCCGUCCCUAGAAUAAGUACCCCUGAACCAACCAAUCACGGAUAGUCAUGUGGCGAAUGCGGAUAGGUACACGUAAGAGGGGGCAGAGCAUCAGACACAUCACAGCCAAAUAAGGAGUUGUUUAUCAUAAAGAGCUCUCGCCGUCGGGAUGGCGGAAGGCGGAAACCAGCGCCAUCUUUAAGGCGCGGCACACGCAGCUCUCCACAAGUUAUCCCCAUCGUGAUAAAGAGGAGUCUUGUUUUGUAACCAAGGGCUUGACACGAUGCUAUCAGCAACAAUAGAAUGGACCACAGUCACUCAAGCUACUCACCUUACCUUGCCAUCAACUCAGCUGGAAUGCUAUCUGCUCUAGGGACUUCAGGGACCAUACUGUCAGCAUGAUGUGUGCAUUUUGGGAAUAGACUUAGUUCCUGGAUGAGGCACUGAUGGUUCUAGGGGAUUCAUGAGAACCCUGUUAUGUGGAGCUGCUGGAUAACAAGGAAGACAGGAAUUGCACAGGAAAUUACACAGUGGUACUUCCUUGCAAUCCAAUGGAUGCCCUGAAGCACCAGUGCAGCAUCUGUCACAGCACUCAGGAGACCAACAGAGAAUGUUGCUAAUAUAUAAUUUGAUGCUUCUGAUUAGUCACUGCUCCAAUGAAAGCUGUCAACCCAAGAUUUUUCUGUGCUGUCUUCCUUGCUGUAUUAUCUGCUGGAGCCCCUACAGGUCAUCAGCUCCAGAGAUUUCAUAUAUAUGUGCACAGAAUUCUGUUUCUCUGGAGUCUGCGAAUCCAUAUUUGAAUAUAUAUAUAUGUGUAGACUGAACUUUAAUUGAAAACCUCUUGGUUGACACCCACCUACGUGUCUCUCUACAACCUUGCUGGUGAACUGCACAUCAGAGCACACAGUAUUCAAGACAACAAGGAUAAGAGGAGAAUGCUUAGCAUUGAAAGUGCAAUAGUAGGCUCUCUAAAGAACAAGGCAGAAGAAGAUCCAAGCGGAGCUGCAAGGAGCAGAUGAAACAAUUUUUCUAUUGUCACACACCAGGAAGGAUCAAGCUAGACAUUAGCUUCCACAGUUUACAUUCUAUCCACUAAAAUAACAUACUGCUAUCCAAAAAAGAAAAUGACAGACUUAAAAUUAUCCUCUUCCCUUCCCAGCAUAUCUCAGCAGUGUUAUUAAGUAUAUUUAGAUAGAAGUAGAGGCUCAUGCUUUGAACUUUUCUUCUAGAAGACUUUCUGAUAGAAGCAUGGCCUUCCAGAUAUGCCCCAAAAUGAACAAAUUUGUUUGAAAACUCAGUGUUACAAUGCAUGCUUUAGAGAUAAAAGGUAAAACACUACACAGUAAGUGCCAAAAUGGGGCAGGACAAAGUGCCAUGCACCUUACACCGUAGUUGCUACCUCACCUACCCAGAAGGUUACCACCAGCAUUUAAGCAGUGUCUUCACCUACUUUACUACUACCAGGUUACUAACAAAUAUUCUUAUUCCUAAGUUCUACAACUGUCAUAAUAUGUCAGGAUCUGCUUCUUUUUUCUCUUAUUACCAGGGUCCUUGUAGCUUUUGAUAUCUGUGGAAUUCCAGCCCAAGAAGGAGACUGAGCAGCAUGGGUGUGUUGGUUUGGCAGAUCUUCCUUUGGGGGUGCAUUAGUCUUCCUAUCACUCUUUUUUUUCCUUGCAUUACUGAGGGUUGAAGCCAGGGCCUUCACACUGAACUGCAUCCCCAUAUUUUCCUUUUUUAUUUUGAGACAGGGUCUUACUAAUUUGCUAAAUUGCCCAGGCUGGGCUCAAAUUUGUGAUUCUCCUGCUUCAGCCUUCUAGAGUGCUGGGAUGACAGGGAUGUGCCAUCAUGCCCUGCAUGUCACUCUUUAAACAGCAUAAUUCUCAGUCAAUUCUGAAUCCCACUAUGAGCUGAGGUGAAGUAGACCCAAUUUUUUCUCCCAAAAGGAAUGUAAACAACAGUAUGCUUGCUUUCUGAGGCAGAUGCCUCUCCCAGCUUUGCCUGUAAAUCAGCUUCAUUCCAUUGCAUCCAGCUCUAAGCCUAAUUGCUUGCAUCCUGCCCAAAGCCACCUCUGGGGUCAUUUGUGAAGAGACUUUCUCUCAUUUGUUAGCUACAGCUGCUCCAAACACAUCCUUUUUCUCAUCAACAGAGUUUAUUUUUGCUUUAGUAUGGAACAGCAUUCCUCAAAAUAUCUGUAGGUGGCUAAUAUGUCACAAAGUGCUCCUAGGUGGACAACAAGGCCUAUGACAAAGAAUGACUCUCUCUCUCUCUCUCUGUCUUUCUCUCUUUCCCUCCCUCCUUUCCUUUUUCAUUUCAUAGGAGAGAGUGGGUGGGCUAUUGAUGCAUGCAUUUUAUUAAAUUACAUUGUACUACAUCCUUUGCGAACUCAAAAGUUGGAGUUGAAGACAAUUUAGUUCAACUUCCUUAUUUUGCAGUUAAGAAAACUAGC
rnacentral:lncRNA from 1 species